rnacentral:rRNA from 1 species
ACUCAAAUGAAUUGACGGGGACCCGCACAAGCGGUGGAGCGUGUGGUUUAAUUCGACAAUAAGCGAAGAACCUUACCAGGGCUUGACAUCCCGGGAGUCUCUGAGAAAUCAGAGAGUGCCGCAAGGAGCCCGGUGACAGGUGCUGCAUGGCCGUCGUCAGCUCGUGUCGUGAGAUGUUGGGUUAAGUCCCGCAACGAGCGCAACCCUUGUCGUGUGUUGUAUUUUUCACGCGAGACUGCCUCGGUUAACGAGGAGGAAGGUGGGGAUGACGUCAGGUCAGCAUGGCCCUUAUGCCCUGGGCGACACACGCGCUACAAUGGCCGGUACAAUGGGUCGCAAUAUCGCAAGAUGGAGCUAAUCUCAUCAAAACCGGUCUCAGUUCGGAUUGGAGUCUGCAACUCGACUCCAUGAAGCCGGAAUCGCUAGUAAACGCGGAUCAGCCACGCUGCGUUGAAUACGUUCUCGGGUCUUGCACACACCGCCCGU